UGGGGAAUUGUUCGCAAUGGGCGCAAGCCUGACGACGCAACGCCGCGUGGAGGACGAAGAUCUUCGGGUCGUAAACUCCUUUCGAUCGGGAAGAACGUUUCGGGGGUGAAUAAUCCCCGGAAGUGACGGUACCGAGAGAAGAAGCCCCGGCUAACUCUGUGCCAGCAGCCGCGGUAAUACAGGGGGGGCAAGCGUUGUUCGGAAUUACUGGGCGUAAAGGGCCAGUAGGCGGCCAACUAAGUCCGACGUGAAAUCCCAAGGCUUAACCUUGGAACUGCGUCGGAUACUGAUUGGCUUGAAUUCGGGAGAGGGAUGCAGAAUUCCAGGUGUAGCGGUGAAAUGCGUAGAUAUCUGGAGGAAUACCGGUGGCGAAGGCGGCAUCCUGGACCGACAUUGACGCUGAACGGCGAAAGCUAGGGGAGCAAA
rnacentral:rRNA from 1 species